ACGAACGCUGGCGGCGUGCCUAAUACAUGCAAGUUGAGCGCUGAAGGUUGGUACUUGUACCAACUGGAUGAGCAGCGAACGGGUGAGUAACGCGUGGGGAAUCUGCCUUUGAGCAGGGGACAACAUUUGGAAACGAAUGCUAAUACCGCAUAAAAACUUUAAACCCAAGUUUUAAGUUUGAAAGAUGCAAUUGCAUCACUCAAAGAUGAUCCCGCGUUGUAUUAGCUAGUUGGUGAGGUAAAGGCUCACCAAGGCGAUGAUACAUAGCCGACCGGAGAGGGUGAUCGGCCACAUUGGGACUGAGACACGGCCCAAACUCCUACGGGAGGCAGCAGUAGGGAAUCUUCGGCAAUGGACGAAAGUCUGACCGAGCAACGCCGCGUGAGUGAAGAAGGUUUUCGGAUCGUAAAACUCUGUUGGUAGAGAAGAACGUUGGUGAGAGUGGAAAGCUCACCAAGUGACGGUAACUACCCAGAAAGGGACGGCUAACUACGUG
rnacentral:rRNA from 1 species